CGCGUAGGCGGCUUGUUAAGUGUGAAGUGAAAUCUCUGGGCUCACCCCAGAAACUGCUUCGCAUACUGACAGGCUUGAGGGAUGAAGAGGUGAAUGGAAUUCCAGGUGUAGCGGUGAAAUGCGUUGAUAUCUGGAGGAACACCCAUGGCGAAGGCAGUUCACUGGUCAUCUCCUGACGCUGAGGCGCGAAAGCGUGGGUAGCAAACA
rnacentral:rRNA from 1 species